GUGGGGAAUAUUGGACAAUGGGCGAAAGCCUGAUCCAGCCAUGCCGCGUGAGUGAUGAAGGCCUUAGGGUCGUAAAGCUCUUUUGUGCGGGAAGAUAAUGACGGUACCGCAAGAAUAAGCCCCGGCUAACUUCGUGCCAGCAGCCGCGGUAAUACGAAGGGGGCUAGCGUUGCUCGGAAUCACUGGGCGUAAAGGGUGCGUAGGCGGGUUCUUAAGUUAGAGGUGAAAGCCUGGAGCUCAACUCCAGAACUGCCUUUAAUACUGGGAAUCUUGAGUUCGGAAGAGGUGAGUGGAACUGCGAGUGUAGAGGUGAAAUUCGUAGAUAUUCGCAAGAACACCAGUGGCGAAGGCGGCUCACUGGUCCGAUACUGACGCUGAGGCACGAAAGCGUGGGGAGCAAACAGGAUUAGAUACCCCUGUAGUCC
rnacentral:rRNA from 1 species